rnacentral:rRNA from 1 species
AUUGAACGCUGGCGGCAUGCUUUACACAUGCAAGUCGAACGGUAGCAGGCCUUCGGGUGCUGACGAGUGGCGAACGGGUGCGUAAUGCAUCGGAACGUACCCAGAGGUGGGGGAUAACGCAGCGAAAGCUGUGCUAAUACCGCAUGUGAUCUGAGGAUGAAAGCGGGGGACCGAGCAGCAAUGUUUGGCCUCGCGCCUUUGGAGCGGCCGAUGUCGGAUUAGCUAGUUGGUGGGGUAAAGGCCUACCAAGGCGACGAUCCGUAGCUGGUCUGAGAGGACGACCAGCCACACUGGGACUGAGACACGGCCCAGACUCCUACGGGAGGCAGCAGUGGGGAAUUUUGGACAAUGGGCGCAAGCCUGAUCCAGCAAUGCCGCGUGCGGGAAGAAGGCCUUCGGGUUGUAAACCGCUUUUGGCAGGAACGAAACGGUGUCCGCUAAUACCGGGCGCUAAUGACGGUACCUGCAGAAUAAGCACCGGCUAACUACGUG